CACUACGGCCAUGCCACCCUGAUCACGCCCGAUCCCGUCUGAUCUCGGAAGCUAAGCGGGGUCGGGCCUGGUUAGUACUUGGAUGGAAGACUGCCUGGGAAUGUCGGGUGCUGUAGGCA
ensembl:rRNA 5S_rRNA 5S ribosomal RNA